rnacentral:lncRNA from 1 species
CUUUGAUGUGUGUUAGUAUAAAAACCCAGUAUCUGACAUAGGCAAAUUUCUAUCUUCUAACACACACACACACACACACACACACACACACACAAACUGCUUUUAAGAGAAAGUUGUCACUUGAGCAAAAACUUUCAUCUUUAGCUGAUCCAAUGACGGGAAGCUAUUUGGCAUAGACUUAGUAAAACCUUCACGCAAAACCAGCAGAGGAACUGCCAGAGCUUCCAUAUAGGGUGUAACUUGAGGAGUCAUCCUGAUGCUGGAAGAGCCGUCCAGCUUUCCAGAAGGAGGCCAGUAAAAAGCGGGGAGAGAUACUUCUCAAAUCUCAUCAUCAGGCGGCUGAAGAUGACCACAGCCCUAUCAGUGUGCAGAUGGAACGGCAGAUUUUCAACACCGGUUUUUCCUCUUCUUCUUUUUAACUCCCAAUUUGUUUGCUGGUUUCUUUAGUCAAGUUAACUUGGACUAAGGAGACUAGAGAUGCCAGUGACUGUGCAAAAGGGAAACUUGCAACUUACAUAACAAGCAUCAGAACCUUAAAUUUGGUGUUUGCUGUUGGAGCCCUGAGCCACAAUGAAAAGUGGACUAUCUGGCCAGAGAGACUCUUGGAGAGAGAACGAUGCCGAGUCAGCCCUAGCUGUGACAGUCAGACUCUUGGAGGAGCCCCACAUGGGAGUCAAGAAGCACUCCUUAAGUUCAGCCCCUGUCCAGCCACAAGGUCUACCCACAGAAGCAUAAAAACAAUAAAAUGUUGUUUUAAGCUACAAAGUUUGAGUAAAUGGUGUGUCAAACAGUACUAGAUAACUGAAACAACCAUGAGUGUAUCUGUGUGUGACAUCCACUGAAAUUCUCCAACUUUGCUCUUGUAUUUUUGUUUUUAUUUUUUUAAUUAUAGGAUAUUUAAUAAGUAAGACAGAGUAAAUAAACUUUACUUGUACAUUUUAGCAUAAUUAACAAAGAAUUACAAAGCAAAACCUAUGUAAUCGCUACCUAGGUCAAGAAACAGAACACUGCUAGCACCCAAACCCAUCCCACCUCCUCUUUGCGCAUCACAACUGGCCCCCCAUUGGUAAACAUUGACUUGUUUUUUGUGACAUGAAUUGCUUAGCUUUUCCUUAUAGUUUUGCCACUAAAGUAUACAUUCUUAAACAUUAUGGUUCAUGCUUGUAUCAAACUUUCUGUGAACGGAGUCAGUGUGUAUGCAUUCUUUUAAGACUUGCUUCAUUUGCUGAACUUAUGUCUGUGAUACUCAUCCACGUUGUUGCACAUAGCU